UCUAGUACAAAUGCUCGAGACCCUCAGUUCCACUAGUGACACCAUUAUGUUUCUGGGGCUGCAUCGACAGAGGCUGCGACGUCGACGUCGACUGCGACGCAUGUCUUUGGCUUUGCCUUUAUAGCUGUAUCUGAAUCUCAAUCGGAAUCUGUCGGAUGUCUGACGUGCCGCCGCUUCACUUGCCUCACUGCUGCUGCUGCUGCCUCUUAUUGUUGAAGGUUUUGUAGUGGUUGCUGCAGCUACCACUCACGAUGAUGAACUUUCAGCCGAACUUUGCUUUAUGGAUUUUCGAUGUGUUUUUCUUUAGCUUUUUUUGCUUGGUAUUUUUCUUCUCUGUUACUGUUAUUUUUCUUGAGCAUCAAAAUUAAUAUAUACGAAUAUUUUAGCUUUCAUCUUGGGCCACAGCAUCCGCUGCCACUGCCGCAAGCUGCAACUCUCACUCUAAAGAGAAACGAGAAACUUUGAAUCCUGGUUUAGACAGGGACUUCCGUCUAGUUGGUGUUUCUGUUGUUAAUAGCAGGAGUAAGAGCUUGAGUAUUAACAGUUUCAGUUUGCCGUAGACAGCUCAGUUAUUUAUUCGAAUUUAUUUAAGCGUAACGCGCUGCGCUCGUAAUUUUCUCAUCUUUUGUGCUCAGUUCAAUUUAGUGGAAAAUUGAAAUCAUAUUGAAAUUUGUCGGUCAGCGAACUUAUCCGCCACGGAACCACGGAAAUUCAAUGGAAAAUAUCAAAGUGCCUGCCGUUUCGCUUUUAUUUUUAUUUUCUGUUUUCAGUUUUCAGUUUUCAUUUUCUCUGCUUUCCCUACUGACAUUUUCACUCUGCGCUACACGCGAAGCAAAUCAAUUGCACUUUCAACACAUCAGAUUCUAUCGUCAUCGUGGUAUGUGGCAGAGUGAAAGCUCUGUGUACAGAUCUGUGUCCAUCCACCACAAAACACAAAACACAGAAUAUACAGAGGAUGUUGUCCGCGUCGACAUUCAUCAGCGGUUUUUAGGCCGGCAACCGACUGAAAAUACGGUUUAUGGUCCCCUCAGUUGAAUAAUUUAGCAAAUUGUUUGAUUCGUCGCAAAUGUAAAUUUGAAUUAGUCUUCACUAGCUUCACUAACUGCCUAACUGCCUGUCGUUUUUGGCCAAUUUCCAAAUGCAAUUGCCAAAUUGGCGAUGUGUAUUUGGCAACAGGAAGGUGGAAGGCGGAACAGGACAGGAAAAGGAGCCAACUGCCUGUAACUGAUUAAAGCAGAUUUUACCUAUGCGAUAUUCAAUAGAUUCAUCAGCUGCGCAUUGAAAAUGAAUAUUUCUUGCACAGGGCGCACAUAAAUCUCUUGGCCAGGUCAAAUUGCCCCUAAAUUCCAAAUACAAAAUUCAUACUUGUAUUCACAUGCAUGUGAUUGAUAGCCUUGCUUGCCGCUUGGCUUGGCUCUGGUCUGCUCUGCUUUGCUUUGGCCUUGCCAGAGGAUUGUGAAUAUUGUGAUUCCCUUUAGUUUUUGAGCCUGACAAACCCUUGCCUCAGUCCUCAGUCCACUGGUUCAUAUUGUUACUGUUGUCGACACCCAGUGUGUUCGGUAAAGAUAAAUGCACGCUUAAGGAAUCUCAAGCAGCUUUUCAGAGGGCUAAAUCAAAAUUAUGGCUUAGUGUCAGCUCAGCCAACAGGGAUUGGAAAGUUUGCUCUCUGUUUUAGUCGAUCCGGUAAAGUGGAGGGAACGUAGGAGGAAAAGAGGAGGAGAUGGGGGCAGUGAGCAAGGUAAAUAUUUAUUAGCUCAAUAAUUUGGCAACAUUUCGCAGGAUUAAUGUGCAGAUUCCAGGGCCAUAAAUUAUUUGCAGCCGUAUUCCUAAAUUUUAUUAAAUAAAUAAAAUAAAAACCCCCAACACAUACACACACAAACCCAAGUACAGACGUGUGUGUGUAGGUGUGUAAGUAGGGUAGGCUGGUGUUUCAUAUUAUUAUUUUUGUUUGUUGCUGCCAAGGACACGCAACCAUAAUAAAAACUUGUUGAAAAAUUUACGAGCAGCAAAAGCGGCAGCUUCAAAGGACAAAUCGGACAAACAGCAGGCCGUUGGUCACGUUCUGGACCCACUGCCAAUCUUCCGUUCCCAUUCCUAGUUCCCUUUCCCUUUCCAGUCUCAGUCCCCACUCUCAAUUUGGGGACGUAGGCGUGUACAACGACGACGACGACGACAACGACAAGGGCGUGUUUAUUUAUGUUGUGCCCACCGCUGAAAAGUUUAGUCGUUGUACGUGUCAAAAACUUUUGACAGUGCAAUGGCUUCUCGACUUGGCGAAGAAGAAGUCGCCACGCCAACUGCAACCUGGGACGCAGCUGUGGCCCUAUUAAAACGUCCAGCGAGUCACCUCGACUGGCAAUACUUUUGCCUUUGCGAAGAGGCAGAUUGACGGAGUCCGGAUAAAGUUAAGACACUGAGUAAUUUGGUUAGCGCACAACUUUCAUUGGCAACUCUUCCCCUUUUCGCCACAGAGAUGUCUCGGAAAAAUCAGAAGCAGCCACGUGACAGCAGCAAGGCGUCUUCAUUCACUAAAUAAUUGAUCUGGGUUCGUGCAAAUCUCGGAGCAUCUGUGCCUGCAGCACAGCCAGAAUAUUAAAUGUUUUCUCCUAGACGGAGGCGAAGAGGAGGAGGGAGAGUGGGCAGGACUGGACUGGACUUGGUUUGAUGAGGAUACGAACAGCAUAGUUAGCCCUUAGUCAAGUCAUGCAAGGCACAAUUGCUUCCUUUUUGUUACAUUUUGCCAAGCUAGCAAGCCAGCCAGGUAUUCUAUUCAAGCUCUGGCUCACCUUUAAUCUCUCAACCCGAAAACGAAACGCGUGGCUGAGCUUAAAAAUCUGAUUUCAUUCAAGGUUGCCAAGAAGCUAACCACAGCAUCCUUGCCCAUCUCUAAUGUGAUCUAUAGAUGAGUUCAGCUUUUCCUCAGCAGUUAUGACAGCUCAAAAGAAAUGUACUAAGUCGCUUUAUUUUCGUUGUUGUUGUUGUGCAACUUCUUAAUACCCUUCAAGGCUGAAAGUAAGCUACAACGAAAGGGGUUUUUCCACAAGUUUUUGUCGAAAUGAAAGAUGGCUUAAAAAUUUAAUAUUUAGUUUCAAUGAGAGCAGAUAGGACAUCUGGAAGUCGAGCAAGUUCAGCCAAAGUAUUAUUACUUUCCGUUAAUAACACAUACGAAAAGACUGAUAAGAACAAUUCUUAAAAAAAAAAGAAAUUUGAAGAGAAAAAGUUUCCGUGCGGAAAAGUUAAACCGCCCAAGACGCAAGAUUGGAACAGGUGCAGUGUUAUUUUGUUAAGUGUACAGAGCGCUUCGAGGCACCUAACAUAUUAUAUGAGAAUAUAUAAGUAAUAAAGUGCGUAUGCCACAAAAAAAAAAGAGAAAAAAAGAAAGAAAGAAAUAUAUUGCUGCAAAACAAACGAGUGAAACUUAACAAAAAGCGGUUCGUGGUAUCAAGGGCAAAAACAUACAUUUUGCGCUUUACGAUGGCAUUUUGGCGAGAGUAAAAUGAAAGGGGCUCUGAAUGGGCAUAAGAUGAUGGUCUGGAUGCUUUGGAUGCUCUGGCUGCUGCCAGGAUGGGACGAUGGUCAUGUUGUAGCUGUAGCUGUAGCUGCGCAGCUGCGUGGCGUGAAAUGACGAGGAACAAAGAAAACGUGGAGUCGACUUGAGACGAGUUGUGGAGAAGCCGAGCAACGGAUACGAGGCGCAAAAAACAAGGACGAAGCGAAAACACUCGAUGCAAACGCAGGAUGUAGCUGGUGGAUGAUGAUAUAGGAUGGAGGGGAUGGUUGGGGGACAGGGGGGAAGUGGCGAGCAUACGCGGACGGUGAAAUGUUGGCUCUGUUGAAGGCAAUAAAAUGAAAUUACAACUUAAUUGUCAUAAAUAAUUCAGAAGAUUCCUUGCCAACAUCGUUGCUGCUGGAGUCGCAAAAACUCUGCGUUGCGAAACGAAAUCAGAGCGUUCCACAAAUAACCCCCUCAUCAUACCGACAAACCAAUGACCCCCUCUUCCUUCUCCUCAGUUCUCCUGGGGAGUCUUCUGCUGGGUUGUGCUGUCCACCUUUCUUUAGUGGCACGCGAAGCUUAACGAAAAUUUUAAAGCCAGCUGCUACUUUGAGCAAAGGAAUUGGUUCACGGCAGCUGCAGUGGCAAUAUUGCGUGUUUUAUUAUUAACAAAGUUAAUCCCCUGACCUAGUUAACUCAGCUCAACUCAACUCAACACUCACACACACACACACACACACACACACACACACACACACACACACACACACACACACACACACACACACACACACACACACACACACACACACACACACACACACACACACACACACACACACACACACACACACAGACAGAUGCUCAUAGACAAGCCACAACACGAGGCGUUAAUAAAAUAUUAGAACAAGAGCGUGAAAACCCAAAAAACAGCAAAUGAACGGGAUGUCAGUCAGGAGGGGAAAUCCCCCAAAGUAAACAGCUGAUUAGAGCAUCAAAUUCGAUGCUGCGAGCUAAGAGAAGUCAACUGGAAUUGAUUGUAUUUAAUUAGUCCUGGGUUAACUAUUCACAGUCAUUUUAUUUGUGGCAACAUUGAAGAUGGCCUUGAUGCCACUAAAAGCCAAUUACGUGCUUCGCUUCGGAUUAAGUUAUUUCACUAUCGGACAUCGGAAAUAAUGUAACUUUUUGCAUUCAAUAUAAAUUAUUGAAAUGGUUAAACGAAUCGAUUGUUAAGCUUCGCUUUUUAUUCAGCAUUGUGGAGAGAAUAAUCUCUGUGCUGAUGCCAUGUAAACAACAAGUAAAUAAUGGUAAAUUAGCAAAAUGACAAAAGUUCUUCAACAAUCACAAUCACUAGCCCACAUACGUGUAGGCCAACAAUUUGGGGGGCGGAAAGGGCGUGGACCGGGGGCUCCUGAUUGCCAGUUAAGAAUGUGCAAACAAGCAAACAAAACCGUCGCAGGGACUGUGAUUGUGAUUGUGGGGAGCAGACCAGACCAGACCAAACCAGAGCCAUAGAAAUGUCAGAGAGAAAAUGCUUACGAAAACAAAAAGAAUGUAUAACAUGUGUUCGAUGCGUCCGUCUCCAAAGGGAACAUAAUAUUUCUAUGCCUUUUUGCCAAUAAACCGCUUUCGGGUGUGGAAAGGACACGAACACAGAGAGAGAGAGAGAGAGAGAGCUGGGCGAGGCCUUUAAAAAGUAACACUCUGUUGAACAAACAAACGAACAAUUUAUUUUGGUUUAAUAAUAAUAAAAGAGCCAAAACGAAAACGAAAACGAGAACGAGAAAGGGAACGCAAACGAGUCGAAUAUGUGAAUGCCACAGAGGAAAAAGUGCAAAGCAAGUGAAAACCCGGAAAAUGUAUAAAUGCCCGCCGGACUUGGAGUAAAGCAUGAACAUAACGACUCCUUCUAUUUCUCUCUGGAUCUGACUCCGUCUGUGGACGUAUAUUAAAAGUAAUGUAAAUAUUCGCAUUCGUAUAUCCACAAUGAAAGAACAACAAAACAAAAAGACCAAAAACUCCGGAAAGAAUAACAAA